CUUGAUCGACCCCAGCCACAGCGGCUCGUCGGCGGAGCGGUCCUGGCCGUAGGUGGCGAUCAGGGCCUGCGCCUC
rnacentral:antisense_RNA from 2 species